AUUGAACGCUGGCGGCAUGCCUUACACAUGCAAGUCGAACGGCAGCACGGGAGCAAUCCUGGUGGCGAGUGGCGAACGGGUGAGUAAAGUAUCGGAACGUGCCCAGUCGUGGGGGAUAACGUAGCGAAAGUUACGCUAAUACCGCAUACGAUCCAUGGAUGAAAGCGGGGGAUCGCAAGACCUCGCGCGAUUGGAGCGGCCGAUAUCAGAUUAGGUAGUUGGUGGGGUAAAGGCUCACCAAGCCGACGAUCUGUAGCUGGUCUGAGAGGACGACCAGCCACACUGGGACUGAGACACGGCCCAGACUCCUACGGGAGGCAGCAGUGGGGAAUUUUGGACAAUGGGCGAAAGCCUGAUCCAGCCAUGCCGCGUGCAGGAUGAAGGCCUUCGGGUUGUAAACUGCUUUUGUACGGAACGAAAAGGUUUGGGCUAAUAAGCUGAGCUCAUGACGGUACCGUAAGAAUAAGCACCGGCUAACUACGUGCCAGCAGCCGCAGUAACAC
rnacentral:rRNA from 1 species